AACGAACGCUGGUGGCAGGCUUAACACAUGCAAGUCGAACGGACGUAGCAAUACGUUAGUGGCAGACGGGUGAGUAACGCGUGGGAAUAUGCCCUUUAGUUCGGAACAACUCAGGGAAACUUGAGCUAAUACCGGAUAAGCCCGAGAGGGGAAAGAUUUAUCGCUAAAGGAGUAGCCCGCGUCUGAUUAGCUAGUUGGUGAGGUAAUGGCUCACCAAGGCGACGAUCAGUAGCUGGUCUGAGAGGAUGAUCAGCCACACUGGGACUGAGACACGGCCCAGACUCCUACGGGAGGCAGCAGUGGGGAAUAUUGGACAAUGGGGGCAACCCUGAUCCAGCCAUGCCGCGUGAGUGAUGAAGGCCUUAGGGUUGUAAAACUCUUUUGUCCGGGAAGAUAAUGACUGUACCGGAAGAAUAAGCCCCGGCUAACUUCGUG
rnacentral:rRNA from 1 species